rnacentral:lncRNA from 1 species
UUUAGAGGGAAAAUAUUUAAUCUAUUUCAUGAAAAAAAUGUACAAAGCUUUAGAAAAGAGGCAUUCGGUUUCAGUGUACAGUCUGAACACAUUCUGGUUUUCUAUAACCGCAUGAAUUAUACACUUCUUUUGAGUUGGUAAUGAAGGCCACUGCGCUCUCAUUCCAAACCAUCUUAACACAUGUACUUAAAGUCACUGAAAAGACUUGAAAUAAAUGUAGAAAUACAGUGUUGUACAAAAAUAUAUUACUCUAUCUACAUGAAAUGCUUACAAAUGCAGACCAAGUCAAUUCUUUUAGAACUCAACCAAGUCUAAUACAUGAUCCUGUAAACUGGAUUUCAAUUGCAUCUUUUAUCUUUGAAGAAAAAAUAGACAUAAUCAAACUCUUGGAAUGACAGAGAUGAAGUCAGCACAGCAGACCAACUCUAUUCUCAAAGAUAAAACCACAACUUUAUGCACACACAAGAGGAGAAGAGUCUGAGUUUUUAAAACUUGACAAAUUUAUGAAAUGUUACAAUUUGAAAGUGAUUG